UCAAACAACAUACAACACAUCAAACCUAACAUCACACAUAUCCAACAAAGACCAGCACUAGACUAGGGAAAACACAAGGCUUAAAUACAAGAGGGCUAACAAGGGAUAACAGGACACAGGAGGUUAACAGGUGGGAACGAUCAGGGGUGGAGUCAGAAAACAAGGGGGCUGGACUAGGAUGGAGCCCAAAGAAAGAAGCACAUGGACAAGUAAACAGAUGCACAUGGAAGACUGAAACACAACGUUAGCACAUGGACAGGACUGGGAGGGGCCAAUUGUGACAGCUAUAAAUACAAGGAGACUAUAAGACACAGAUUGAAAAAAAAUGAAUGAUUGCUUUUUGACAAAAGAGCAAGUAUAUUGUCUAUAACUAUUGUGUAUUGCCUAAAUUUCUGGAAAAACAAAUCAAAAUGAAAAUUUUGCCCAUUUCACCCAGUACCACUUGCAGAGUUUUUAGAGGAUCUAGCAUAGAAGUAAGAAGGGGACUGACUUUUCAACUUUGACAAGAAGAAGGGGUUUAGAGUUCCAAUACUGGCAGAGGGCAGUUAAGCCGAUUGCAUGCUACAUGAUUCUAGCACCGAUUUUUGAGUUACAGAUACAUUUUUGGGCUCUGCAAACCACCUAGCUCAGUGUUAGUGCUGCAUGCGUGCGCUUGUUUCAUUUGAAGCAAUGUGAUGUUCCCAGUCUGUAAGCUGUUAGAUCUGUAAGCUGUUAGAGUAACCUACAAGUGAAUAUUCACAGCAGUUUUCUCCUCCAUGAUGUAUAGCCCCAGGGAAUGGAAAGAGCACCAUUAAAAAUAGAUUUUUUCUUUUAGAUUUUUUCUAAAAGAUUCUCAAACUACAGCUUGGCACGUUGUAAAGACUGUUUAUUAAUGAAGUUAAUUUCCAUGAAAGAGUGUGAUUUUGCUCAUGCUUUGUCACACAUCACUCAAGGUUAAACAUCAUGUAGUAUGUCAGUCUUGCCUGUUACCACUCUUGUAGUCUGCACACAACAAGUCACAAGUGAUUCACUUGUGUCCACUAGGUAUUACUGGCAGUGCCUCCCACUCUGGAAAAGUGGAGGUUGGGCAAAAAAGCGCCAACAUUAACAUAAGGAAUUCCUGGAAGGGUAGAUGUGUGCUUUAACUAAAAUCUACCUUACUACAAUCUGCCUUUCCCGUGCGUCUUUCUCCAGUACUGCUUUAUCUCCUGAGCCUUCACAUGUAGGGCCCAUUCAAAAGGCUCCAACAGAGAAGAACAGAAGAUCAAAUGUUUGUGGGUGCAAUCAACAUCUUGUAGCAUUGGAAAAAGAAAGGCUUCAGCUAAAGAAAGAACAGAUUCAGCUGAAACGAGAGGAGCUCCAGCAGCAGGAGAGGCAUCAUCUGGAGCUGGUUCUGCUAAAGAAGGCUAAACUUAACAUUCUGUCUAAACAGCUCACAUUGGCAGAGACACAAGUCAACAGGCCCAUUUCAGUGCCAAUUAUACUGCCUUCAGAAAAAGACAGACACACAACAGACAAAAUAGAGCCUGCUUUGUGAAAUAUGGAACCUGUAUCUUCAGUAAAUGCUGGAGGCUACUUACUGGGAAUAGCUUCAAGCAAGCUUCUGUAGUACCUGACCAGUAUUAUGGUCAGGAGGUAUUAUUUUGUUUUGUCUAUGUCUGUUCAUGUUUUUGUAUACUUGAAUACAUUUUGUAUACUUUGCUUAAAUAGUCCAGUUUCAAUCAUGUCACAGCAUUAUCACUUAAAUCACAUAUGUUUUGGUGUUGGUUUGGUGUUUUUCCAAAAACAAUUCUUUGCACAUUUACUAAAAAGUUAAAAACUAUCUGUCCACGGAAUGUUGUUUCACUAGUGUUACAAAAGUGCUAUUGAGAAACUUCUGGAAACUUGUUUUUGUACUAGAGAGCAAUUUUUCCCUCCACUGUAAUAAAAAUUUGUCAUUCCUGGA